UGCAGCAACGCCGCGUGGAGGAUGACACGCUUCGGGGCGUAAACUCCUUUUAUAGGGGAAGAUAAUGACGGUACCCUAUGAAUAAGCACCGGCUAACUCCGUGCCAGCAGCCGCGGUAAUACGGAGGGUGCAAGCCAUACUCGGAAUCACUGGGCGUUAAGCGCGCG
rnacentral:rRNA from 1 species